UCUCGUGUUUUCUGUUUUUGUCUCUUUAUCUGUUUGAUUGUUUGAGACGAGAACGUAAAGAAAACCUAAUCGACUGGGCAAUGCUUGGAAGCCCAAGAUGAUGAAGGCUGUCUCUCUUCUUUUGAGAAUGAUUUUUCCGCUAGCUCUUAUAGCCCUGGCUGGAUUGCUAUUUCAUGUUUACAGCACUGUGUGGCUAAAGUCUGAAAGGAUCAGGAAGAAGCUGCGCGUACAAGGGAUCAAAGGGCCUUCACCUUCUUUUUUUUGUACGGGAGUCUGCCUGAGAUGCAGAAGAUCCAAUCCCAGCCUCCAAAUCAUGCUGAAAUUGUAGCCCGCGACUACACUUCCACCCUCUUCCCAUAUUUCGAACAGUGGAGAAAAGAAUACGGUUGCUUUGGAUAUUGAGUACUAUCACAAUAUGUUAGUUUCCCACCAAAAACUGAAUCCUAAGGAAGUCAUUUUUGGAUGAAGAUAGAAAGGGUUGGAGUCGUGGAGGGCGAUGGAGAGGACUUGGAUGGUCUUUGAGUUCAGCAUAUGUUAUUAUUAGCACAAGCAUUAAUUAUCAAUUCCGCCAUCACUACAAGUCUUUUUGAGGCCCUAUAGCUACAGUAUACCUCGUUCGCUGAACGAUUGGCCCACCAAGGUGGUAGUCGAACCUUCCGAGCGUAUUUACUGCCUGCCAGGACCCAAUGACAAAUCCUCGGCUCAAUAUCCGACGCCAUACCAGGCAUUGAGCAUUGAAACACCAGCAGAUGGUCAGAGGCCUAAAGACCCCUCCCACACAACUGGGAUGGUUGGCCCCAUAAGAUUGUUUGCACCUAGAUGGAGUCGAACUUGGGACCUCAAGGGGUAAUAUUCCCUAGAAGUCACAAGCCUGACCAUCAGGCCAACCCCAUGGGGUUAAGAAUACAGCUUCUUUGGCUAGUCGCCAUACAAGUUUGGUUAAUCUGAUACAUGUAUAGAAUUAAAUUUGUGUUUUAAUAGUAUGCAUUAUUUGUCAAGAAAUUAAAUGUUUAUGUUGUUUAUUCUUCAGUCUUCUUUGUAAGGAUUUUGAUUUUUGUAGAAUUUCUAACUUAUUGAAAUUUACAAAUGCAGAAUCAAUUGUAGCAUUGACAAAUUUAGAUUUAAGACUUGGAGCCUAUACAAAUAAUGGUUGGUUAAAUUUUUGGAUGCACCCAUUAGAUGUAAUCUGGCGAGGAAGACUCAGUAUUUCAAUACCUAAUGUUUUAUCAAAUUUCGUUUUGAGGAUGAUUGUUAUGCUUAAACAAUUUGCAAGC